CAGUCGCCGCGGUAAUACGGAGGGAGCUAGCGUUGUUCGGAAUUACUGGGCGUAAAGCGCGCGUAGGCGGUUACUCAAGUCAGAGGUGAAAGCCCGGGGCUCAACCCCGGAACUGCCUUUGAAACUAGGUGACUAGAAUCUUGGAGAGGUCAGUGGAAUUCCGAGUGUAGAGGUGAAAUUCGUAGAUAUUAGGAAGAACACCAGUGGCGAAGGCGGCUCACUGGUCCGGUACUGACGCUGAGGUGCGAAAGCGUGGGGAGCAAACAGGAUUAGAUACCCGGGUAGUCCCUGUCUCUUAUAA
rnacentral:rRNA from 1 species